CUGAACCUGGAGAAUUCCUUUAUCAAGUUUCUUAUCCCUUAUAACAAAAAGUUUUUAAUCUUCCUUCUACCUAGUCUCAGAUAUCACUUUAAAGUAGAAUUUUAAUCACACUGUGGCUAAGUGGGUUUACUUAUUCCAGAAACUUUGCAAAAUCCAAACCACCUACUUUUCUUGUUUUUCUUGGUCAAUAACUUUUAUAGCUGUUGUUAUGGCUCAUUUUUCACGGGCUAUCAAAGUUCACUUAAUUAUAAUCCUUGGUCAUGACUCAUUUUUUUUUUUUCAGAUGGAGUCUCGCUAUAUGGCCCAGGCUGGAGUGCAGUGGCGUGAUCUCAGCUUCACUGCAACCGCUGCCUCCUGGGUUCAAGUGAUUCUCCUGCCUCAGCCUCCCAAGUAGCUAGGAUUACAGGUAUGUGCCACCACCCUCAGC
rnacentral:lncRNA from 1 species